GGACUAUGAAAGAAAGCGUGAGCGCGUCUCUCCUUCUCUUCACUGCGUUCCGCUUCAACAUGUGGAGGUCUUCAUCUCUUUCUGUCUUUCUCUCCGGCUGCACAGCUUCUGGCUCACGUGGAGUGGAGAACUGGAGUCGCACGUGAUCCCGCCUCCUGCGAUGUGAUUGGUUCUCAAACAUGAUUGAGUCCUCUGAUUGGACGACGAAUUCAAACUUUCCAGAGAAUGGAGUAAUCUGAUUGGAGGAAGUUUGGCUGUAACGGCUCAGGCUUAAUUCCCCUUUCAGGAUGUGACGUUGCAGUAAUAUAAGCUGCUUCUCCCUAUUGCGUUGUGCAGAAGGUUUGACUACCUGCCUGGCUGGAGUCUUGCAGCCCAGAAUGGAGCGCGUUGUGCUGAAGUCAUUCAGGAUCUUGCAUCACUUCUGAGGGUGUCCUUUUAUUGCUUGUGAAGUCAUGUUGUUAACUGCAUAUGUUUGGUCACAUGAUUGCUUGUGCGAUAGGAAAUAAAUGCAUUUUGAUGGAAAA